GUCCCUAUAUCAUACUUGAAGCAUCCUUCUUUUGUAGAUCUGCUCAAUAGAUCAGAAGAAGAAUUUGGAUUUUGCCACCCAAUGGGCGGCUUGACGAUUCCAUGCCGAGAGGAUGCUUUCAUAAAUCUCACUGCCAGGCUGCACACGUCAUAAAAGAGAACAAAAAAGAAAUGUUCUUGAUCACAGUUUUGUCACCUAUAAUUUUAGGAAGUAGAGUAGGAUACUGUACAGUAACUUCGUUGUUUGAGCAAUGGAAAUUACAUUCUUCUCAUAUGAAAAAUUUCUCUUCAGCUCAUGAAUUUGGCGUUUUUUGCUGAUUACUUCUUUUUCUCUGGGUGCUAUAUCAUCAGUUAAUCUUUUUAUUCCUGCCAGUACUUUAUCACAAACCUUCAAAAUAAUUCACUUAUAACAAAAUCUGACCAAGAACUUCUGAGUUGGGUUGUGAUGCUCAUCGUUCCUACAACAAAAAAGAUUUCCCUUCUUUGCAAAAGCUGCAAUGAAAAAGAGGAGGUAGCAUGUCAAAUGCAAUGUGAAAGAUAUGAUUUCUUGUUAGAUGGAUGUCAAAUGCUUCUUUGAACUUUGUUUUUAGUAUUAUAUUACAAAUGAGGGAAGGGGAUUUGUACUGAAGGAAUCUAGAUUAUUUCUCUAGUCCAGACAAAUGAGGCUCCAAAGGAUGUUUCAAAAAAUUCCGAGCAUAUCAUUUGCUUCAAAACCUUUUUCUUAAGAUUAUUAAUACUAUUGAGGUCAUUUAUUCUUAUGGUUGGAGUGUUACAUUUAUAAGUUAACAUGUUAUCCUAUUGUGGAGGAUAAAUAUUUUAUUCUUCAUAAACCCGAGAAAUACUAGGAAUGAUUUGUCUUGAAGCAACAGCUAUAGAUAAAUGUAUUUCUUUUUCUACAAUGGCAUUUAAUAACAGAAACAUAAAAAUCUACAUGCACAAUAGGAUCAGUGUUGAGAUAUUUAGACAUAAAACUCUGUACCCAAGAAAUUAUCAAGGAAAAAACAAGCGGCAUAGGUCAAGAAAGAGAGUUCAUAAAGAAGUUCUGAUGCUUGUGUUGAGAGAGAUGGAAGAAACGUACAAUUAUGGUCAUGGACUCAUGGUCGCUGAUGAUUUCAGCUUAUUCAUCUGAAAAACAAAGAACGAGCGAAAAGCAGCAAGCAGCAAUUGUCCCAUAUAACUUAUCAGCAGUUGGAGCAAUUUUCUGGAAGGUCUCAUGACUAUGAACAAAUAGUAUGAACUCAUUCUCCAAUUGUAGAAUCACUCAAUCCAAGAUUCAGUUCUUGUAAACUCCACCUGCAUUUUGUUCAAUGAACAGAAUAUGGUUGUCUUAUUUGAAUUUUGACCUUUUUAUAUUGUGAAGGUAGUCUAUCAGUUCAUUUUUAAAAUAUGUACAACAAAUAUCCACUUCUGCAAUUUUGAUAGCAAUGAACAGACGAGUAUCAAAGAACAUGCAAAGGAAACAGGAAAUGAUACCGAAAAUCUAUUGUAUGAUGCUUUGGAAAGAAAUUUACUAACAAAGAAACUCAUCUGAAUUCCUUAAGGCUUGAAAUUGUAUGUAUACACAACAUUCAAGCAGGAAAUAGAAAGAAAACAAGAUAGGAACAUAGAAGAAAGAAUAUGUCAAGAAUUCAUUAACGGUUAUUUUGUCAUGUUCAUCCUUUGAGUGUUUUAAUCGAGAAGCGGGAUCAAUGAAGCAGUCCUUGCAAGGAAUUGUAAGACAUUCUUGUUAAUGAUGGAAACUGAAACCUUCUUCUACUCUGGUUGAGUAAUUGUUAGAAAAAGGUCUAGGAAUGAAAUGGGAACUACAAACAGCUUCGCUUGAAGAUUUCCCAGAUAUACUACAAAAUAACCUCUAGGAACAUCUGAUGCUUCAUGUUAAAACCCAUUAGCAUCUUGACAAUCUAUUUUGCACAAGAAAUCAAGAAUGAUGGUAAACGAAUCCCCAUUCUCAAGUCCAUAUGCAACAGUCGAAAAGCAACAAACGGAUCUCAACUUUGAUCUAGGUCGGUGUCGAUGUAGUUGGAUGUAGAAUUGCGAAAUUUCAGGUAUUAGAAACUCAUCUACGAUCUAUAUUUAUAGAAUUGUGAGGAAAAAUGUUGACUGAGCACUGCUAAUGUGCUUUUAAAAGCGGGCUCCCUAGACAACUUAGAAGACCCACUUACCAUGACUUUGUCAGCUCACAAGAAUUUUCCAUUCCCACUCAUCCUUUCUCUUGGCCCCUUGUGUGUUGGAUAUGUAUGCUCAUAACUAUGCUUGUUCCUGUGGAAUAAUAGAUCAAAACAGAUGGAUUGUAAAAACAAGCCGACAUAUCCUUGUGAUCGGACCUCCUAGCAAGAGGAAAUUGCUUCAUCAUUGGACCCAGCUUCUAGGUAAGGAAAGCGACUUCACACGAACCAAUGCAUUAGAUCAUAUCAUAUCACCAUAUUUCAUCUGAUUCGCAGAUUAGUUAGGUCCACUGGUGGAGCACUUCAUGAGAUUUGGAGAGUAUCACAUGGUAUGUUCCUACUCAUUUGACACAUUUGGUUUUCUUGGCCUCUCUUCACUAGAAAAAGUGGGACCAGUUAGGAAGCAAAUGAAAUUUCAAUGGAUAGAGCAAACCCAUGUGAGCCUUUCAAGAAGUAGUUCCUUCAUAUCUGCUAUAAAUACACAUAAGAACGAAGCCAUUCUCAUCCAACGAGUACUCUAUUUUCUAAAUCAAGUUCCAUAUCAAGCAAGACACCGCUCAAACUCAAUCACUUUUCUCUUGUUUCGAGUAAAUUUUCGAUAUGGGAAUUCGUCUACAAUCGAUUCUUCUCAACGCCAAGCAGAUUUUGAAAAUGCAAGCUAUGUCAGCCAGAAAUCAAUCUGAUGUUCCCAAAGGCCAUAUUGCAGUUUACGUGGGAGAGAUUCAAAGGAAGAGAUUUGUCGUCCCUAUAUCAUACUUGAAGAAUCCUUCUUUUGUAGAUCUGCUCAAUAGAUCAGAAGAAGAAUUUGGAUUUUGCCACCCAAUGGGCGGCUUGACGAUUCCAUGCCGAGAGGAUGCUUUCAUAAAUCUCACUGCCAGGCUGCACACGUCAUGAAAGAGAACAAAAAAGAAAAGAAAUGUUCUUGAUCACAGUUUUGUCGCCUAUAAUUUUAGGAAGUAGUAGGAUAAUACUGUACAGUAACUUCGUUGUUUGAGCAAUGGAAAUUACAUUCUUCUCAUAUGAAAAGUUUUCCUCUUCAGCUCAUGAAUUUUGUUUUUUUGCUGAUUACUUCUUUUUCUCUGGGUGCUAUAUCACCAGUUAACAUUUUUAUUCCUGCCAGUGCUUUAUCACAAACCUUCAAAAUAAUUCACUUAUAACAAAAUCUGACCAAGAACUUCUGAGUUGGGUUGUGAUGCUCAUCGUUCCUACAACAAAAAAGAUUUCCCUUCUUUGCAAAAGCUGCAAUGAAAAAGAGGAGGUAGCAUGUCAAAUGCAAUGUGAAAGAUAUGAUUCCUUGUUAGAUGGAUGUCAAAUGCUUCUUUGAACUUUGUUUUUAGUAUUAUAUUACAAAUAAGGGGAGGGGAUUUGUACUGAAGGAAUCUAGAUUAUUACUCUAGUCCAGACAAAUGAGGCUCCAAAGGAUGUUUCAAAAAAUUCCGAGCAUAUCUUUUGCUUCAAAACCUUUUUCUUAAGAUUAUUAAUACUAUUGAGGUCAUUUAUUCUUAUGGUUGGAGUGUUACAUUUAUAAGUUAACAUGUUAUCCUAUUGUGGAAGAUAAAUAUUUUAUUCUUCAUAAACCCGAGAAAUACUAGAAAUGAUUUGUCUUGAAGCAACAGCUAUAGAUAAAUGUAUUUCUUUUUCUACAAUGACAUUUAAUAACAGAAACAUAAAAAUCUACAUGCACAAUAGGAUCGAUGUUGAGAUAUUUAGACAUAAAGCUCUGUGUCCAAGAAAUUAUCAAGAAGGAAAAAAAAAAGCGGCAUAGGUCAAGAAAGCCAGUUCAUAAAUAAGUUCUGAUGCUCGUGUUGAGAGAGAUGGAAGAAAUGUACAAUUAUGGUCAUGGACUCAUGGUCGCUGAUAAUUUCAGCUUAUUCAUCUGGAAAAACAAACGAACGAAAGAAAGCAGCAAUUGUCGCAUAUAACUUAUCAGCAGUUGGAGCAAUUUUCUUGAAGGUCUCAUAAUGACUGUGACAAAGGGUAUGAACUCAUUCUCCGUUUGUAGUACCACUCAAUCCAAGAUUCAGUUAUUGUAAACUCCACCUGCAUUUUGUUCAAUGAACAGAAUAUGGUUGAUAACUCCACCUGCAAUUUUGAUAGCAAUGAACAGACGAGUAUCAAAGAAUAUGCAAAGGAAACAGGAAAUGAUAUUGAUGAUGCUUUGGCAAGUAAAUAAUAACAAAAAAACUCAUCUGAAUUCCUUAAGGUUUGAAAUUGUAUGUAUACACAACAUUCAAGCAGGAAAUAGAAAGAAAACAAGUUAGGAACUUAGAAGAAAGAAUAUGUCAAGAAUUUAUUAACAGUUAUUUUGUCAUGUUCAUGCUUUGAGUGUUUUAAUCGAGAAGCGGGAUCAAUGAAGCGGUCCUUGCAAGGAAUUGUAAGACAUUCUUGUUAAUGAUGGAAACUGAAACCUUCUUCUACUCUGGUUAAGUAGUUGUUAGAAAAAGUUUUAGGAAUGAAAUAGGAACUACAAACAGCUUCGCUUGAAUAUUUCCCAGAUAUACUACAAAAUAACCUCUAGGAACAUCCGAUGCUUCAUGUUAAAACCCACUAGCAUCUUGACAGUUCAUUGUGCACAAGAAAUCAGAAAUGAUGGUAAACGAAUCCCCAUUGUCAAGUCUAUAUGCAACAGUCUAAAAGCCAUAAACGGAUCUCAACUUUGACCUUGGUCGGUGUCGAUGUAAUUGGAUGUAGAAUUGCGAAAUUUCAGGUAUUUGAAAGUCAUCUACGAUCUGUAUUUAUAGAAUCGUUUGGAAAAAUGUUGACUGAGCACUGCUAAUGGGCAUUUAAAAGCGGGCUCCCCUAGACAACUUAGAAGACCCACUUACCAUGACUUUGUCAGCUCACAAGAAUUUUCCAUUCCCACUCAUCCUUUCUCUUGGCCCCAUGUGUGUUGGAUAUGUUGCCCACAACUGUGCUUGUUCCAGUGGAAUAACACAUCAAAACAGAUGGAUUGUAAAAACAAGCCGACAUAUCCUUGUGAUCGGACCUCCUAGCAAGAGGAAAUUGCUUCAUCAUUGGACCCAGCUUCUAGGUAAGGGAAGCGACUUCACACAAACCGAUGCAUUAGAUCAUAUCAUAUCACCAUAUUUCAUCUGAUUCGCAGAUUUGUUAGGUCCACUGAUGGAGUACUUCAUGAGAUUUGGAGAGUAUCAC
rnacentral:lncRNA from 1 species